rnacentral:rRNA from 1 species
GACGUAGGAGGCGAGCGUUAUCCGGAUUCACUGGGCGUAAAGCGCAUGUAGGCGGUUGGAUAAGUCCGUUGUUAAAGCCCCUGGCUCAACUGGGGGAGGUCAAUGGAGACUGAUUCGACUUGAGGGCAACAGAGGCACAUGGAACUCCCGGUGUAGCGGUGGAAUGCGUAGAGAUCGGGAAGAACACCCGUGGCGAAGGCGGUGUGCUGGGUUGCAACUGACGCUGAGAUGCGAAAGUGUGGGGAGCAAACGGGGAU